CUAGAUUUAAAAUCCUAUUACAUGAUUAUUAUAUGACAUUAAAUCAAAAAUUAAAAUAUAAAAAGUAAGAACUAUAUGUUGAUCAUAUCAACAUGUUUCUAUACUACAUCUAAUGUAUGUAAAAUAUAAUAGAUUAGAUCUAUUAUCUUGCCAGUUAGACGUUCUAACUUUGUUGAUCCGAGCUUGAGGAUGAUGUUGCGA
rnacentral:lncRNA from 1 species